rnacentral:rRNA from 1 species
UACGUAGGGGGCAAGCGUUAUCCGGAUUUAUUGGGCGUAAAGAGCUCGUAGGCGGCCGUUCGCGUCGGAUGUGAAAGCUCAGGCUCAACUCUGAGAUGCCAUUCGAUACGGGACGGCUAGAGGUAGGUAGGGGAGAGUGGAAUUCCUGGUGUAGCGGUGAAAUGCGCAGAUAUCAGGAGGAACACCGGUGGCGAAGGCAGCUAUCUGGACCGACAUGACGCUGAGGCGCGAAAGCGUGGGGAGCAAACAGG